GUUCUUGCUUAGUUAGUCUCCUUCUUUCUUCCUCCCUAUUAAUCUUUGGCAUUUCUUGUGAUAUUGCUCGGCUAGGGUUCGAGCGAGGCGUACGGUAUUUCUGGGGUAGUGGGUGAAAUCCUAUAAUCCCAGGAGGUCCUCCAUUGGCUAAGGCUGUCUGCUAGCACGCGCCUGGCGGGAUGUAUGCAAGCUGGGGGAGCGAACCGGUUUAUAUUACCCGGGUAGUCCCAUCUGUUAAACUAUGCAUACUAGGUGUUUGGUCGGCCACGUGCCGUUCUAGUUCCGCA
rnacentral:rRNA from 1 species